rnacentral:rRNA from 1 species
GCCACCUUCGGGUGGUGGACAGUGGCAGACGGGUGAGUAACGCGUGGGAACGUGCCUUUCGGUUCGGAAUAACCCAGGGAAACUUGGGCUAAUACCGAAUACGCCCUUCGGGGGAAAGAUUUAUUGCCGAAAGAUCGGCCCGCGUCGGAUUAGCUUGUUGGUGGGGUAAAAGCCUACCAAGGCGACGAUCCGUAGCUGGUCUGAGAGGAUGAUCAGCCACACUGGGACUGAGACACGGCCCAGACUCC